ACAGAGGGUGCGAGCGUUGUCCGGAAUCACUGGGCGUAAAGGGCGCGUAGGUGGCUGUGUAAGUCGGGGGUGAAAUGCUGCGGCUCAACCGCAGCGCUGCCUCCGAGACUGCACGGCUUGAGCACGGUAGAGGCCGAUGGAAUUCCCGGUGUAGCGGUGGAAUGCGUAGAGAUCGGGAAGAACACCGAUGGCGAAGGCAAUCCCCUGGGCCUGCACUGACGCUCAUGCACGAAAGCGUGGGGAGCAAACAGGA
rnacentral:rRNA from 1 species